AGCGGCGGACGGGUGAGUAAUGCGUGGGAAUAUGCCCUUUGGUAUGGAAUAGCCCCUGGAAACGGGGAGUAAUACCGUAUGUGCCCUACGGGGAAAAGAUUUAUCGCCAAAGGAUUAGCCCAUGUUGGAUUAGCUGGUUGGUGAGGUAAAAGCUCACCAAGGCGACGAUCUAUAACUGGUUUGAGAGGAUGAUCAGCCACACUGGGACUGAGACACGGCCCAGACUCCUACGGGAGGCAGCAGUGGGGAAUAUUAGACAAUGGGCGAAAGCCUGAUCUAGCCAUGCCGCGUGAGUGAAGAAGGCCCUAGGGUUGUAAAGCUCUUUCAGAUGUGAGGAUGAUGACAGUAACAUCAGAAGAAGCCCCGGCUAACUUCGUGCCAGCAGCCGCGGUAAUACGAAGGGGGCUAGCGU
rnacentral:rRNA from 1 species